UUCCCACAGAUGCAAAAUACUGAGGAACAAUGAUAAUGUGCAAUUCAAGAUUACCACUUCUCUUCUUUUAUGCCAUUCUACUGGUUCCCCAUGUUAGUCACAGCUUAGUAUUGCAGCGAGAUCCCUACGUUCUCCAUAAUUGUUCAACUAGUGGUAAUGUGAGCAGUAACGGUACCUUCAGAGCGAACCUCAACACCCUCAUCUCCACCUUCUCUUCCAACACCCAAAUCGAUUAUGGGUUCUACAAUUUCUCUGCCGGAGAGGGCACCGACAAAGUUUACGCCACUGGGCUUUGUAGAGCUGACCUUACACCAACUGAUUGCCGUAUUUGUCUUAACAAUUCAGGUCACGAGCUCUUACAGGUCUGUCCAAACGAGAAAGAGGGUAUCAUGUGGUACAUGAAUUGUACAGUUCGAUACUCCAACAACUCUAUAUUUGGUGUUAUGGAAACUAAACCUACUAAAUAUCUUGCGACUGGGCCAAGUGAUGACCUUUUUUUUUUUUUUUUGCUAAACAAGUGAUGACCUUGUUUCGAAAUUGACUGAGUUCAACGAGGUGCUAAGUACUUUAUUUUAUGACCUAAGAGUUGGAGCUUCAGCUGGAGGUAUUUUUCGCAAGGUUGCCGUUGGAAAUGCCACCUAUCUAAACCAUACGAUCUAUGGGCUUAUGCAGUGCAGUCCUGAUUUGUCAGAGAUGGACUGUAGCAAUUGCCUAGUUGAAGCUCAAUCUUAUAAUAAAAUUUGUUGUAAUGGAAGCCUUGGAGUGAGAGCUCUUGCACCCACCUGUAACUUAAGAAUUGAGUCCAACCAAUUCUAUGGCAGCACUCUUGUUGAAUCGCUGCCAUCAUUAUCUCCGCCUCCUGUUCCUUCAAAAUCAUUAUAUCCGCCUCCUGUGUCUGCAAAAGGAAAGAAGAGUAACACAUCUAAAAAUACCAUCAUUAUCAUUGUGGCGGUGGUUGUUUUCGUGGUGCUAAUCAUCUGCCUCUGCCUCUGUUUAAGGGUAAAGAAGCAAAGGAAGAAAGUAGAAACAGCGGAUGAAAUUAGCAAUACUGAAUCCUUGCAAUUCAAUUUUCCAACAAUUAGAGUCGCUACAGAUAACUUUGCUGAUGCAAAUAAGGUUGGGACAGGAGGAUUUGGCGCUGUCUACAAGGGUAGGCUCUCUGAUGGACAAGAGAUAGCUGUCAAAAGACUAUCUAUGGGUUCUGGGCAAGGUGUUUUAGAAUUUAAGAAUGAGAUCUUGUUAAUGGCUAAGCUUCACCACCGGAAUUUAGUUAAGCUUCAAGGUUUCUGCUUGGAAGGAAAUGAAAGGCUUCUCAUUUAUGAGUUUGUGUCAAACGGAAGCCUCGACCAAGUUAUAUUUGAUCCAACCAAGCGUGCAGAUUUGGAUUGGCCAAUGCAUUACAAAAUUAUUGUAGGCAUUGCUCGAGGUCUUCUUUACCUUCAUGAAGAUUCUCGACUUCGCAUCAUUCAUCGUGAUCUAAAAGCUAGUAAUAUUUUACUAGAUGAUGAGAUGAAUCCCAAAAUUGCUGAUUUUGGCCUAGCAAGAUUGGUUCUACUAGAUCAAACCCAUAGUAGUACAAAUAGAAUUGUUGGGACAUACGGAUAUAUGGCUCCAGAGUAUGCAUAUUAUGGACAUUUCUCAGUAAAAUCUGAUGUGUUUAGUUUCGGUGUGUUAGUUCUUGAAAUGAUAUGCGGGCAAAAAAAUGGUUACUUCCGUAAUAACAAAAAUGAGGACGAUCUUCUUAGUUAUGCAUGGAAAAACUGGAGGAACAUGACAACUUCUAAUAUUAUAGAUCCCACAUUAGGAGUUGGUUCAAAACCCGAAAUAAUUCGGUGCAUCCACAUUGGAUUAUUAUGUGUUCAAGAAAAUGUAGCUGAUAGGCCAACCAUGUCUUCAAUCAUUCUUAUGCUUGAUGGUAACUCUAUCACCUUAUCAGUACCCUCACAACCUGCAUUUUUAACGCACAACAACCUUGAACCAGACAUAUCAUCAGAUCAAUCUAUUCUAGCCUCAAUAAAUGAGGCUUCAAUUACUACUUUAUAUCCUCGCUAAGGUUUCAUGGAAGUAAUUAGAGUUCCUUAUCUGAGCCUUGAGAAAAUAUUUUAUGGAAGUAACCACGUUGAAUAAUUUUGUCGCAUAGGCUACUAGCCUUUCUUAUAGCAGUCUAGACUAAAAUAUGUGAUGUUUGUUGUAAAAUAGCAGUAGCUCAAAAUACAUUGAUUAUUUGUUUGGAUACAUUUUAUACGCUAUAUAUUAAUCUCUUAACUGGAGU